UGGGGAAUCUUGCGCAAUGGGCGAAAGCCUGACGCAGCGACGCCGCGUGAGUGAUGAAGGCCUUCGGGUUGUAAAGCUCUGUGGAGGGGGACGAAUAAGGGCCGGCGAAUACCCGGCUCGAUGACGGUACCCCUUUAGCAAGCACCGGCUAACUCUGUGCCAGCAGCCGCGGUAAGACAGAGGGUGCAAACGUUGUUCGGAAUUACUGGGCGUAAAGCGCGUGUAGGGCGGGUUCGGAAAGUCGGGUGUGAAAGCCCUGGGCUCAACCCAGGAAGUGCACUCGAAACUCCCGAGCUAGAGUCCUGGAGAGGAAGGCGGAAUUCUCGGUGUAGAGGUGAAAUUCGUAGAUAUCGAGAGGAACAUCGGUGGCGAAGGCGGCCUUCUGGACGGCGACUGACGCUGAGACGCGAAAGCGUGGGGAGCAAACAGGAUUAGAUACCCUGGUAGUCCACGCCGUAAACGAUGGGUGCUAGGUGCUGCGGGCUUUGACCCCUGCGGUGCCGUAGCUAACGCAUUAAGCACCCCGCC
rnacentral:rRNA from 1 species